rnacentral:lncRNA from 1 species
UCUUGUUGGCACAUUCCAUGCAGAAGAGGUUGUGGCCACAUGGAACUAGGGCAGCAAUAACCUCAUUCUCAAAGCAAAUCACACAGUCGUGCUUUCGUCUUGAUUCUGGAGGUGAGCUAGAGGUGGAACCACCAUUGGAAGAGGAGUAACUAUUGGUACCAUUAGAAAAAGCAGGGAUAUAUAUUGGAAGGCCAACAUGGUUGCCUGUACUAGGUGGGUCGCUCCUAACCCUCCGAGCAAGUGGAUGUUCUAUGCUCUCAGGAAAUGUAGGAGACAGACGAGGAGUAGAUGGCUGACUUCCUCUGCGCUGAGUCUUCAUGUUACCAGAAGGAUCACUCCCAAAGCCAGAGAGUGGGUUAACUGGUUCAAAU